GAGAAACGCUGGCGGCGUGCCUGACACAUGCAAGUCGCACGUCCUCUGGUUUUAAUCAGAGGAAGUGGCGGACGGGUGAGGAACACGUGGAUGAUCUACCUUCGAGUGAGGAAUACCGGCGAGAAAUCGCCGACAAUACCGCAUAGGCUUCUUGCGAAAGAAGCAAAGCCGCAAGCGCGUCAGCGCAAAGGCGCUCGAAGAUGAGUCUGCGUCCGAUUAGCUAGCUGGUGGGGUAAUGGCUUACCAGGGCAACAAUCGGUAGCUGGUCUGAGAGGAC
rnacentral:rRNA from 1 species